GAUAAACGCUGGCGGCGUGCUUAACACAUGCAAGUCGAACGAAGUUUUUCCUUCGGGAGACACUUAGUGGCGGACGGGUGAGUAACGCGUGGGUAACCUGCCCUGUACAGGGGGACAACAGCUGGAAACGGCUGCUAAUACCGCAUAAGCCCUUAGCACUGCAUGGUGCAUAGGGAAAAGGAGCAAUCCGGUACAGGAUGGACCCGCGUCUGAUUAGCCAGUUGGCAGGGUAACGGCCUACCAAAGCGACGAUCAGUAGCCGAUCUGAGAGGAUGUACGGCCACAUUGGGACUGAGACACGGCCCAGACUCCUACGGGAGGCAGCAGUGGGGAAUAUUGCACAAUGGAGGAAACUCUGAUGCAGCGACGCCGCGUGAGUGAAGAAGUAUUUCGGUAUGUAAAGCUCUAUCAGCAGGGAAGAAAAUGACGGUACCUGACUAAGAAGCACCGGCUAAAUACGUG
rnacentral:rRNA from 1 species